UACGAACUGGUGGCGACCGGCGCACGGGUGCGUAACGCGUAUGCAACCUACCCUUCAGAGGAGAAUAACCCGGAGAAAUUCGGACUAAUACUCCGUAUUUAUAGAUGAGGCAUCUUAUUUAUAUGAAAGAUUUAUCGCUGAAGGAUGGGCAUGCGUGACAUUAGGAAGUUGGUGAGGUAACGGCUCACCAAUCCUACGAUGUCUAGGGGAACUGAGAGGUUUAUCCCCCACACUGGUACUGAGACACGGACCAGACUCCUACGGGAGGCAGCAGUGAGGAAUAUUGGUCAAUGGGCGCAAGCCUGAACCAGCCAUGCCGCGUGCAGGAAGACGGCUCUAUGAGUUGUAAACUGCUUUUAUACGAGAGUAAUGUCAUUUACGAGUUAAGUGAUUGCAAGUAUCGUAAGAAUAAGGAUCGGCUAACUCCGUGCCAGCAGCCGCGGUAAUACGGAGGAUCCGAGCGUUAUCCGGAUUUAUUGGGUUUAAAGGGUGCGUAGGCGGAAUUUUU
rnacentral:rRNA from 1 species